rnacentral:lncRNA from 1 species
CAUCCCACUUUUUUUGUGUCUUUAUUGCGUUAAAUCUGGUACUAGUUUGCAGCUACUGAGCUACAUGCCAUUUUGACUGGUAUGGGAAGUGCAUGGACUUCUGGAAUUUUCUGGUACGUGGCACCUUUUCAUUAAGCAAUCACCUAUCCAGUGAUGUCAUGUCACCGGCCUUUGCUCGAUCGGAAGAGUGUUGGGUGGCGUGGGGUUGAAAGACCCUGUGCUCCUCCUUCGUAGCCGGUUCAAAUCCGGCAGGCCGGCAUCUGUUUCAUUAUCUGUGUUCUGAUGUAAAUAACAUCUUUGCUUGCUUUGCAAUUCCGCUGUCAAUUCUCGUUCGUAUUGUUCCAUGCGUUGGUUUGGGCGUUCCCUCAAAUUGGUCGUCUGCAUGCAACACCAGCUAUCCAUGGAAAACUUUAAUGGCCUCAUUAUGUUGCACUUGUAGCAAUCUGCUGGCAUGAAUCUAAAUUCCAAUUCUGUCACACUGCCACGAUGUACAUACAGACGGGCAGCCGAAAUAUUGGUGCUACAAAUACGUUGUAGUACAAAUUAGGCAGUUUUUGACAUCCCGUGAAUCAUGUUCUUAUCAAGCUGUUGUUCGCUUUGUUCUCUCCAUCAGGCAUUGGCGGCCGAAAAAGCUUGAGAGCGGUGUGUUUUAAGAGGUGGUGCUGUUCUAUUUUCACAGGCCGAGGUUGAUGAAGGUUUCGGUGGCCUCUUCGUUGAGUCGCUGCUCACUGGAAAGUUUGCCGGUGCCAGUCGAUGGUUCUGCCGUCCACUGAGGGUUGUAAAAUUUCCUGAAUACGGGUGUUAGUCCUUCAUGUGUGUCCUGUUUUUUUAUUUAGGGGGAAAUGACUCUCUUUAUACUCCCUCCGUACCUAAAUAUAAGUCUUUUAAGAUAUUUCAUCAGAUGUUUACAUACGAAGCAAAAUGAAUGNNNNNNNNNNNNNNNGUAUGUCUAUAUAUAUC